CAGCCGCGCGGUAAUACAGAGGGUGCGAGCGUUAAUCGGAUUUACUGGGCGUAAAGCGUGCGUAGGCGGCUUCUUAAGUCGGAUGUGAAAUCCCUGAGCUUAACUUAGGAAUUGCAUUCGAUACUGGGAAGCUAGAGUAUGGGAGAGGAUGGUAGAAUUCCAGGUGUAGCGGUGAAAUGCGUAGAGAUCUGGAGGAAUACCGAUGGCGAAGGCAGCCAUCUGGCCUAAUACUGACGCUGAGGUACGAAAGCAUGGGGAGCAAACAGGAUUAGAUACCCCCGUAGUCCCUGUCUCUUAUACA
rnacentral:rRNA from 1 species